CAAAGGAGAGGCAUGAAGCAUGUAUCUCGCCCAGGGAAGUGAGCGUCCAUUUAUUGCCUGCUUGUUUUUCAGAUGCCACUGCCAAGGGUUAAAAUGUUUACAUACCCCCUGAAUUCAAAUGGCCUGUUACAUGUCAAAUGCCAAUGGGAAAGACAGCUGGAGUAUCUAAACUGAGUGCUUUGAUCUUAGUAUCUGUAGAAAGAGGUCAUUUGGUUUCCCCAAGAACCACAGACAUUUAGAUGAUCCAUGUGCGGCUCAAGCAAUGUCUAAAACAUCAGCACAGAUCUGAGCAGCAGAAGAAAACUGAGAUAGGACAGAGUGAAGAGCUGCCAUACUGUGAGAAUGCAUGGAUUCGCGUUGACAGUCCAGUGACCCAAACACCAUAUACUGAUUCUAAAGAUCUGAUGCAUGGAGAAUGCUAUGUGAACAAGGAUCAAAUUGACAUAGAGAACCCAAGAAUGUGCACCAGUGACACCAAAAGAAGAGGGAAGGAGGGGAUCUUCGUGAAGUCGACACUGAGCCUUUGA
rnacentral:lncRNA from 1 species